ACAAAAAACAAUGUUGGGGCCUAGCCCACCGGCACGUAACACCCAUGAGGCCAUCACGUGUACCUCCACCGCUAGCUAGCUUAUGCUUAUCCAUUCAUCUCCACCGAGAUGCAUCUGCAUCCAUCUCCCAUCUCGCUCCAUCGUUCUCACAUCCAAAAAAGCACCGACAGAGCUAUCUCCUUCGUGGCCCUUAUCCACAACGCUGUUCCUUCCAACGCCUACGCGCUGGUGCUCCAGCCAAAGACAGCCACCCCCCAGCCGCCGUCUGCUCUGGCCUGGGCCAGGCGAGGACGCCGGGGCCGGCAAAGGACGGGGGUCGGGCCGGUGUGCAAGGUAGCUAGGAGGCAAAGUAGGACUUGGUCGCGCCGAGAACCAGCCUCGUGGCUCCCUGCCCCUCUCUACAAAUCGCGGGUCCGUGGAGCGAACAGGCGUUCUUUUGCCAUCCCACAGUCGACCGCUACCUCUGCUCCAGCCAUGACAUGACCUGAGUUCCUUCUAUUCUUUUUCUUCGUUUAUUUCCUUUGAUUCUUGAGAAACACUCGCUGGAACAUCUCACGCAGACGGGCUAAGGCCCAAGUGGCAACGCAUCAGCCACGAACGAUCGCAAGGCAAGGCCCGAGCAAGAGCGCAGACGGAAAAUAUAUAGAUUAGUGCACGUACGGACGCAUAUAGAUAGUACCACCUUGGAUAUUAAGAAAAAUAUCAAAUCAAGAAAAAGCGGACAGGAAGAAGCUUAUUAUGACAUGAGAAGAAAGCGCAUUGUGACGGUGAACCCGGAGACUCAAUCCGUGCUUUAUUAUUACUAGCACAUAUGCCCGUGCGUUGUAACGGGAGAAAAAAUAUUGCAUGCCCUUAAUUAACUCAAUAACCAUA